UGCUCGCUCGCUCGGCCUCAAGUGCGCUCUCCUCGCGCGCGACAAUCCGGUGCAGAGGAAUCCCUGAAAACAUUCCGGAAAUAAAAGGUGGGCGUAACAGAAUGCACACAGAAGCCUACAGUCUCUAGCCUGAGCUCCAGAUCUGAAGCUGAUCUGUCUCCUGGACUCCAGAUUCCUUGAAUAACUUGUCUGCAAGGUUUCAGAUGACAUAACGGGGCACAGACUUCGACAGUUGCAUGAGAACCGGCCAAACUGAGUUCCUGUAAGAGUGGGUGUGGUGUCCCAUCUGUGGUGUGUUCCCGCCUCACACCCAGUGUUCCCGGAUGGGCUCCUGGAUUCACGAUGACCCAGUCCAGGAUGGAGCAGUUAUUAAAGGUUCCAGGGGGAUCCACUUCCGUCUCCCUGUCCCAGCCCCCCACUGGAAGUUGAAGCUUUGGGAAGAACAGCUGACUGGAGGCCCUAAUGAGAGAAUAAAUUAAUUCCAGUUGUUUCAAAUCUCUCAGAGUUCUGUAGCCAAAGUUUGGCCUCUGCUUGCUUCGCAGGUUCCCUGAGGUAUCAGUGUGUAAGCUCCAAAGAUUGAAUUCCAUCAACUCAAAUGCUUUCACUUAGCUAGAGCCAAGGCAUGUUGAGGUGUAUCUUUUUUAUCACCUCCUUCAUCCAAGAGCAAAAUGUACUACACAGACAGAGAAGGCUGGCUACUGAAAAAAAGAAAUGAUUAACAGUAGAGAUGGACACUUUUGUUGUCUUAAUGUUUCCUUAAAGAAGAUUUUAACAUCUUCUACACACAGAAAAUAUGAUAAAGCAAAGUAUAAUAAUUUACAUUAACAUGACAAAUGGUAAAAAAACAAACAAAAAAACAAACAAACAAAAACACAACAAUUUGCAUCAUGCUGCUGAAAAGGAAUGAAAAACGGGUGGGCAGGGUGGUGUGAUAUGCUUUCCACCCAAAGUGUUUUAUGCCCUUUUUACCACAGCAUGUUUCCAGUGUUUACAUACUUUCAUUAAUUAAAGAAAGAUGUUUAUUUGGAGCAUCGUCCAUACAAGUCCCUGUGAAUGCGUGGUAAUGAGUUAGGAUGCAUACAUUAAUAUAAACCCUUGAUUUGAAUUACAAUUGAAACCACACCUUUCUGACCAAUCAGAUUCCAGAUUUCAGCCGUGCAGAUAUAUGAAUUAUUAUCUGCUCAGAUCGUCCAGUUCAUGAUUGCUUUGGCUGAACUCUUGCACGUGCCUCUGUGCGCUAAGUAGAGGCUUGGGUCAGGUCGGUCAUUUGUAAUGGAGACAAAAAAAAGCCCCCUCCCAACCCUAAGGCCAGUGCUCAUUUGAGACCUCCAUGCUGGAGCCUCUGUCCACUUCUUGAUAAUAUCUAAUAGAUCAAACUUAAUUAAAGGAGGUUAGUUAAAAGGCUAUGGAGGAGGCUGGUGCAGAAAUAAAAACUUCUCACAGAUUUAGAGUAACUAAAAAGAGCAAUAAGAAUGAUCAUUGUGAAGAAUGUUUUCAUUAAUCAGGCUUAUCAGGAGUAAAAAGCGAGAGGUUUUGUUUAUUCUAAGCUCUUCUGAUCAUCCUUUGACCUUUCUUAUUUUUGUUGCUGUGACUAAUUCAUGUGGCCUGUGACCUAUGCGAAGGGAAUCUCCUCGGAACUGCCACACGUCAAGUCAACGCUGUUAGGACUUAAAAGGAUUAAAUGUUUUUCUUAAACAAGUUUCUGAUAUUGAAUGACUGUGAAUGAUCCGGAAGAGGUCAGUAUAGGAGCGUGUCAAGUUAAAGACUAUAAAAACUAUCGACUACAAAGGAGGAGAGAAUAAACAAAUCAACUUGACAUUCCUACUUUACUAAAAGUGUGCUGAUUGAAUGCAGUCUGUACCUUAUUGUUCCAAUGUACAUGGAUUUCUUUACCAUUAGAAGUGUGAUUACGAAUGAUCUGAAUAACAGUUCAAAAGGCUAGCAUCGUAAUCAACGCAAAAUAAUAUCGCUGAAAUUGUUCUCGACUUGAAAUUAACAUGUUUUAUUGAAACUAAAACUAAUUCCAUAAUCAAUGAAAUUCUUUGGCAAUAAUAUUAAAAACGUAAAAUUCUUUCCUUCAAUCGCUUUGAUUUGUUAUCCCAAUGAAACCGCAAAUGAAUUAGAAUGGAAUAACUAUUACAUAAAUGUAUCUUACAUAAAUUUACAACAGCACUGUUGAAUUCUCGAUUCUGUCUGAUCAGAAGGUGUUGGUUCAUUUUCUAUAACAAUAAUUCCAGGUGUAAAUCAGAGAUUAAUAUGAGUACUUGUUUUAACAUGUUAUUGCUUCUAAAGAAACAGCUCAUUCACAGUGGCAGACGCUCCACACAAUAUUAUAAGCCUAAUAAUAAGCAGAUUUUUUUUAAUGUGCUCUCAUUUAACCCUGCUAUUAUGUUAUGGGUCAAUUUGACCCAUUUCCUCAUUUGAGGUGUUCGAAAUACUGG